UGGGGAAUAUUGGACAAUGGGCGCAAGCCUGAUCCAGCCAUGCCGCGUGAGUGAUGAAGGCCCUAGGGUUGUAAAGCCCUUUCACCGGUGAAGAUAAUGACGGUAACCGGAGAAGAAGCCCCGGCUAACUUCGUGCCAGCAGCCGCGGUAAUACGAAGGGGGCUAGCGUUGUUCGGAUUUACUGGGCGUAAAGCGCACGUAGGAGGACUUUUAAGUCAGGGGUGAAAUCCCGGGGCUCAACCCCGGAACUGCCUUUGAUACUGGAAGUCUUGAGUAUGGUAGAGGUGAGUGGAAUUCCGAGUGUAGAGGUGAAAUUCGUAGAUAUUCGGAGGAAAACCAGUGGCGAAGGCGGCUCACUGGACCAUUACUGACGCUGAGGUGCGAAAGCGUGGGGAGCAAACAGG
rnacentral:rRNA from 1 species